rnacentral:lncRNA from 1 species
GUAGGGGUGUGCAAAUAAUAAGGUUAACCAUACCCAAAUUACUAACCAAACCAUUUCCAUUUUUUAAAAGCCCAACCCAUUUUAUAAAAAAACCAACCCAGACCAUAAAACAUAAAAAUGGUAAACCGGUUUACCAUUUCACUUAGUUGGUUUAGAACCGGUUUAUUCUUCUCAAAAUUAAUUUCAAAAGUGAGAAACCAAAUAACACAGUGAGAAACCAAAUCACAACAUCACAGUUUCAUCAAUCAUCGCAAAUCCUCCUCCUCCGUCAAACCCACUCUCCUCCUCCGUCAAACCCACUCCCACCGGCGAAUCCUCCUCCGUCAAACCCACUCUCCNNNNNNNNNNNNNNNNNNUUAAAUCGCAAAAUCAGCUUAAUCGGUGAGUGAAUCUAAUAAUCUAAUGUUGAUUUCUGUUGAAUAACUUGUUGAAUCUGUUGAGUAGUUCUAUAAUUAAGUAGUUCUUGUGUAUUGCUAUUCUUCUGCUGCUACAAUUACUGUUGAUUAGUUCUAUAAUUAAGUAGUUCUUGUGUAUUGCUAUUCUAAUGUUGAUUUCCACAGAAAAGGUAUAUGAAUUUGAUGGUAAAUAACCAUAGAUGAUGCAUUCUUCUGCUGCUACAAUUACUGUUUCUUAUCAUUACUGUUUUCGUGCUCAAUAUACAAUCAGUUUGUGUUCUGGCAUUGUGUGCAUUUUUCGUUGAUGGAUAGCUUAUUGAAUAAUCUGUUGAAUCUGUUGAAUAGCUUAUUGAAUAAUCUGUUGAUAAUCCGUUGAAUAGCUUGUUGAAUCUGUUGAAUAAUAUAUUCAUUAGAUUAUUAGCUUAUUGAAUAAUAUAUUCAUUAUAUUCAUUAGCUUAUUAUGAUUGUCUAUUUGACAGUGUUGAAAUGAAUACUCAUGGCGCUUCCGAGAN